UUCCCUGUGGCUCAGUUGGUAGAGCAUGGUGUUUGCAACGCCAGGGUUCUGGGUUUGAUUCCAACGGGGGGG
rfam:Salmo salar isolate Sally breed double haploid chromosome ssa24, whole genome shotgun sequence.